GAAUCUUCAGUGAUCUUAACUUUACCACAUCUGAGGUUCUUAGUGGGUGAAAUUGGUGAAAUUUCUUGUGAAAAAUAUAGUAAUAAUUUGUGACAUUACUUUUGGUGGCAGGAGUCAGAACAUUAUAGCACAUUGUUUUCAUGCAAAUAUGAUCAAGAUCUGCUUUGCAGAUGACUUACAUGGACCUACAUUUUAAACUUGCUUCAUUCUAGGUUGAAUUUCGUUGGAAGACUAA
rnacentral:lncRNA from 1 species